rnacentral:rRNA from 1 species
AUUGAACGCUGGCGGCAGGCUUAACACAUGCAAGUCGAGCGGAGAUGAGGUGCUUGCACCUUAUCUUAGCGGCGGACGGGUGAGUAAUGCUUAGGAAUCUGCCUAUUAGUGGGGGACAACAUUCCGAAAGGAAUGCUAAUACCGCAUACGUCCUACGGGAGAAAGCAGGGGAUCUUCGGACCUUGCGCUAAUAGAUGAGCCUAAGUCGGAUUAGCUAGUUGGUGGGGUAAAGGCCUACCAAGGCGACGAUCUGUAGAGGGUCUGAGAGGAUGAUCCGCCACACUGGGACUGAGACACGGCCCAGACUCCUACGGGAGGCAGCAGUGGGGAAUAUUGGAGAAUGGGGGGAACCCUGAUCCAGCCAUGCCGCGUGUGUGAAGAAGGCCUUAUGGUUGUAAAGCACUUUAAGCGAGGAGGAGGCUACUGAGACUAAUACUCUUGGAUAGUGGACGUUACUCGCAGAAUAAGCACCGGCUAACUCUGUGCCAGCCGCCGCGGUAA